UAAUAUUAAGUAAUGUUUCUAUUUUAUAGAAAGGUUUAAGAGUAUGCAAAAACCAAAUCUCUGAGAGAUGCAACCAGAAGACGGAUGAGAAACAUACUUGAGGCUGAGAUGACAGAAACACAUGGGUAAGAAUAAAAAAUGUAGGAUAUAAAGAAACAUUUUUAACAGAGAGAGUGGUUCAGGAUACCUUGCGUGGCGGUUGAAGACCAUUCAAAGAAAAGCUGCGGAGGAAAGAAGCGCCUCAGUUUGCAAAUCUCCCAAAAUUGGUGGGCCAGGCCAUGGUCGAUCCAGACCACUCACCACUGAGACAGUGUUAUCAGAUGAGGAUGUAAGAGCAGCUAUUGCUCUUUUGAGACACUCUGCUGAUGAAGACAUCCAUGAAAAGAUGAAAGCUACCUUCAUUUAUCGGCAUUCAAUGGUCAGCGAUGAAAAGAAUCCAGCAGAUGUCUUCAUAGGCCUGAUGCGGUUUCUGGACACACCAGGACUGAUAGAACAAGAUUUCCGACUCCUGUUUUGUGAGGUCACUGCCAGCAAAUUCUUGGAGAGGUGGCCCAUCAAUCUCAAAGCAAAGGUUGUAAAGGAAAGUCACGGUCUUGUUCCCACCUCAGAGCUCUUGGAGUUAAUGUGCAAUGCUGAGUCAGGCUGGAACCAGUGUACAGCAGCAUCUAGACAACAUCACCCGAAGCAGUCAGCCCUACCUUCUUGCUCAGGGAUCCACAAGAAGCAGCAUUCACACCUUGUGAUUGACAAGCAUGCACUUCCAUGUAAAGCGACAGGUUCAGUAGGAGCCCUUGAUGAACUCUUUAGGGCCCAUUAUGUCUUUGGUACAUCAUACAGUUCAUCCCUGACCAACUUUUUCACUUUUCUGCAAACAACUAUGACAUUGGGGAAACGUCAUAUUGCUUUGUCUAGUGAGCAUCAUAGAACUGUAUGCUAAUGUGAAUUGUAAGGGUUUGUUAUGUUAAUUAAAUGACACUGAAAUGAGAAACAUAAUAAAUGCUGUUACUUUAA